CGGUCCAUUGAUUAAUGCGUUAAU
rnacentral:miRNA from 1 species